rnacentral:rRNA from 2 species
GAAAGAUGGUUUCGGCUAUCGCUUACAGAUGGGCCCGCGGUGCAUUAGCUAGUUGGUAGGGUAAUGGCCUACCAAGGCAACGAUGCAUAGCCGACCUGAGAGGGUGAUCGGCCACACUGGGACUGAGACACGGCCCAGACUCCUACGGGAGGCAGCAGUAGGGAAUCUUCCGCAAUGGACGAAAGUCUGACGGAGCAACGCCGCGUGUAUGAAGAAGGUUUUCGGAUCGUAAAGUACUGUUGUUAGAGAAGAACAAGGAUAAGAGUAACUGCUUGUCCCUUGACGGUAUCUAACCAGAAAGCCACGGCUAACUACGUGCCAGCAGCCGCGGUAAUACGUAGGUGGCAAGCGUUGUCCGGAUUUAUUGGGCGUAAAGCGCGCGCAGGCGGUCUUUUAAGUCUGAUGUGAAAGCCCCCGGCUUAACCGGGGAGGGUCAUUGGAAACUGGAAGACUGGAGUGCAGAAGAGGAGAGUGGAAUUCCACGUGUAGCG